CGGACGAGCACUUAGGAAGAUUCUUCGGAUGAAAGCCUUUGUGACUGAGUGGCGGACGGGUGAGUAACGCGUGGGUAACCUACCUCAUACAGGGGGAUAACAGUUGGAAACGACCGCUAAUACCGCAUAACCCGCUAGUAUCGCAUGAUACGGACGGAAAAGAUUUAUCGGUAUGAGAUGGACCCGCGUCUGAUUAGCCAGUUGGCAGGGUAACGGCCUACCAAAGCAACGAUCAGUAGCCGGCCUGAGAGGGUGAACGGCCACAUUGGGACUGAGACACGGCCCAAACUCCUACGGGAGGCAGCAGUGGGGAAUAUUGCACAAUGGGGGAAACCCUGAUGCAGCGACGCCGCGUGAGUGAGGAAGUAUUUCGGUAUGUAAAGCUCUAUCAGCAGGGAAGAAAAUGACGGUACCUGACUAAGAAGCCCCGGCUAACUACGUGCCAGCAGCCGCGGUAAUACGUAGGGGGCAAGCGUUAUCCGGAUUUACUGGGUGUAAAGGGAGCGUAGACGGCUAAUCAAGUCAGAAGUGAAAACCCAGGGCUCAACCUUGGGACUGCUUUUGAAACUGAGUAGCUAGAGUGCAGGAGAGGUAAGCGGAAUUCCUAGUGUAGCGGUGAAAUGCGUAGAUAUUAGGAGGAACACCAGUGGCGAAGGCGGCUUACUGGACUGUAACUGACGUUGAGGCUCGAAAGCGUGGGGAGCAAACAGGAUUAGAUACCCUGGUAGUCCACGCC
rnacentral:rRNA from 1 species